rnacentral:rRNA from 1 species
GAUGAACGCUGGCGGCGUGCCUAAUACAUGCAAGUCGAGCGAACAGACGAGGAGCUUGCUCCUCUGACGUUAGCGGCGGACGGGUGAGUAACACGUGGAUAACCUACCUAUAAGACUGGGAUAACUUCGGGAAACCGGAGCUAAUACCGGAUAAUAUAUUGAACCGCAUGGUUCAAUAGUGAAAGACGGUUUUGCUGUCACUUAUAGAUGGAUCCGCGCCGCAUUAGCUAGUUGGUAAGGUAACGGCUUACCAAGGCAACGAUGCGUAGCCGACCUGAGAGGGUGGUCGGCCACCCUGGAACUUAGACACGGUCCAGACUCCUACGGGAGGCAGCAGUAGGGAAUCUUCCGCAAUGGGCGAAAGCCUGACGGAGCAACGCCGCGUGAGUGAUGAAGGUCUUCGGAUCGUAAAACUCUGUUAUGAGUGAAGAACAAAUGUGUAAGUAACUAUGCACGUCUUGACGGUACCUAAUCAGAAAGCCACGGCUAACUACGUG